UACGUAGGCAGCAAGCGUUGUUCGGAAUUACUGGGCGUAAAGAGUGUGUAGGCGGUGCUCCAAGUCUGGUGUGAAAUCUCCCGGCUUAACUGGGAGGGUGCAUUAGAAACUGGAAUGCUAGAGGAUGGGAGAGGUAAGCGGAAUUCCUGGUGUAGCGGUGAAAUGCGUAGAUAUCAGGAGGAACACCUGUGGUGUAGACAGCUUACUGGGCCAUUUCUGACGCUGAGACACGAAAGCGUGGGUAGCAAACAGG
rnacentral:rRNA from 1 species